rnacentral:lncRNA from 1 species
UUUUUUUUUUUUUUUUUUUUUUUUUAAGACAGCGUCUUCCUCUGUCGCCCAGGCUGGAGGGCAGUGGUACGAUCACGGUUCACUGCAGCUUUGACUUCUUGGACUCAAGCAAUCCUUCUGCUUCAGCCUCCCAAGUAGCUGGCAGUACCGGCCCACACCACCAUGCCCAGCUUUUUUUUUUAGAGACGGUCUCACUAUGUUGCCUAGGCUGGUCUUGAUCUCAAGAAAUCCUUGAGAUCCUUGGGCUCAAGAAAUCCUCCCACCUCAGCCUCCCAAAGUACUGGGAUUACAGAGAGAGAGUUCAUCUCAAAAAAAAAAAAAAAGUUUGUUCCCUGGACCCAGCUCUGCAUCCCCUUUUAACAACUAAUUCCUUUUUCCUUCCUCCUUUUUGAGCCAACUUCUCUGUCCCCUCACUAAGCCAGCCAGCCCACUGCUGGCCUUCCACCACUUCCUUGAUGACAGACCUGGUCCUUCUCUGGCCUGACUUCUCUCCAGUGUUUGCUCUUUAAAAUCCUCUCCUUCUUGGGCUUCCUCAGGCCAGGCCUCCUGGUUUUCCUUCUUUUUCUCUGCUACUGCUCAGCAAUUGGGCCCCAAGCUCCACCUCCUCUGCCAUGGCCUCAUGCUUGGUGUCUCACCUGGCUUCUCACUCCACUGCCUUGGGAGAGCCCAGCCCCACCGGCUGUAGAGGAACAACUCGCAGCAAAGUCUCCAGGCUCACAUAUCCCACUGCCAUCUGGAUGUCCUUUGUACAUGUCAAAAGCUGUGUGCCCCAAAUCAAAUUUGUCCUCUCCCUCCUCCUUCCCCCAUCUCAGCAUCUGAGUGACAUCUACCUCUGUCACUCAAGGUAGAAUUAUCCUUGCCUCCUGCCGGCUUUGCCUCAUCUGACGCUGAGCCCCAUUGAUCCGACCAGCCUAAGCCUUGCAGACCUGCCUACCAGUUCUCAGGUAACACCAGGGUUAGAGGAAGAUGGAAACACUGCUGCAAGGAAGCAGACACCUUGCAGGCAGGGCAAUGAGUCAGUGUCCAGGCAGAAGGAAAGGGCGGGGCUCUUCAAGGGAGAUUGAAGAGACAGCCAGAUGCAAGGCAUGGCCUUGGACAGGAUCCUGAACCAAACCAACCAGCUGUGAGAGAAAUGUUUUAGGAUAAGGCAGAAAUCUGAUGAUGGCUUAGGUCAUAGAUGGCACUAAGGAAUUAUUGUUAAUUUUGUCAGAUAUAUUAAUGAUAGGGUGUUUAUGGAGAAAGACAUCACUUUUCAGAGAUGCAUGCUGAAGUUUUCAAGGGUGAAAUAUAUCUAGAAUUUAUAAUUCAUCAGCAAUAAAUAAAUAAAAAUAAACAUGGCAAAUAUUGUUUUUUCUCUUUUCUCUCUUUUUUUUUCCUUCUAGUACAGCAGCCAGCAAGAUGCUGGCUCCUUGCUAUUGUUAAAUCUAGGCAAUAGGUAACUGUAUUCUUUUUUUUAUUUUUUAUUUUUUGAGACAGAGUCUAGCUUUGUCGCCUAGGCUAGAGUGCAGUGGCGCAAUCUCGGCUCACUGCAACCUCUGC